GGAAGUAAAAGUCGUAACAAGGUUUCCGUAGGUGAACGUGCGGAAGGAUCAUUACUGAGUUGUCGAAACGAGUUGUUGCUGGCCCUCCAAACGGGGGGCAUGUGCACGCUCUGUUCACACAUCCACUCACACCUGUGCACCCCUCUGUAGUUCUAUGGUCUGGAGGGCGCGUGCCGUCUUCCUCCUGUAGUUCUACGUCUUUACACACACACCGUAGUGAAGUCUUAUGGAAUGUGCGCAGCGUUUAACGCAAUACAAUACAACUUUCAGCAACGGAUCUCUUGGCUCUCGCAUCGAUGAAGAACGCAGCGAAAUGCGAUAAGUAAUGUGAAUUGCAGAAUUCAGUGAAUCAUCGAAUCUUUGAACGCACCUUGCGCCCCUUGGCCAUUCCGAGGGGCAUGCCUGUUUGAGUAUCAUGAACACCUCAACCCUUGCGGUUUGCCGUGAUGGGCUUGGACUCUGGGGGCUUUGCUGGCCAUGUGGUUGGCUCCUCUCAAAUGAAUCAGCUUACCAGUGUUUGGUGGCGUCACGGGUGUGAUAACUGUCUACGCUCGUGAUCGUCUGCCAGGUGGCCUUCAGUGAUGAAGGUUUGCUGGGGCUUACAAACGUCUCCCCUUGGCGGAGACAGGUUUUUGAACGUUCGAUCUCAAAUCAGGUAGGGUUACCCGCUGAACUUAAGCAUAUCAAUAAGCGGAGGAAGUAUUGG
rnacentral:rRNA from 1 species